UAGUCCACGCCCUAAACGAUGUACACUAGUUGUUGCUAUGCUAGACAUAGCAGUAAUGCAGUUAACACAUUAAGUGUACCGCCUGGGGAGUACGGUCGCAAGAUUAAAACUCAAAGGAAUAGACGGGGACCCGCACAAGCGGUGGAGCAUGUGGUUUAAUUCGACGAUACGCGAAGAACCUUACCUGGACUUGACAUAGUAAGAACUUUCUAGAGAUAGAUCGGUGUCUGCUUGCAGAAACUUAUAUACAGGUGCUGCACGGCUGUCGUCAGCACGUGUCGUGAGAUGUUGGGUUAAGUCCCGCAACGAGCGCAACCCUUGUCUUUAGUUGCCAUCAUUUAGUUGGGCACUCUAGAGAAACUGCCGGUGACAAACCGGAGGAAGGUAAGGAUGACGUCAAGUCAGCAUGCCCCUUACGCUCUGGGCUACACACGUGCUACAAUGGUCGUGACAAAGAGUUGCUAGUCUGCGAAGGCAAGCCAAUCUCAUAAACGC
rnacentral:rRNA from 1 species